CACCCACCUAGCUUCUCUCAGGAUGCAGAUGCAACCUUUCCCUUCUAGCUCCACUGGACAAAGGGCUGCAAGAUAGCUCUUCGAGACGGCAGUAGCUUGUCAAAGGGGAGAUGGUAUAGCGGCUUUGGCAGUAUCCCGGCGAGAGAAAAAACAAAAGGUCAACCCACCAAGAUGGAAGAUGCACACACUGAAGUUAUUUUGCCAGAAUUUGCAAGAUUGCUGUCUGAAAAGACAAAAUGAGAUCUCUGAAGAUAAUGAACAAGGUGAGUGGAAAGGAUGACAGAGAAGAACUGAGAAGAAAGGGUAGGAGGAGAAAAGGUGGUUCUCCCUAGUCUACAGAUGUGCCUGUGUUCCUACUUUAUAUGGAGAUAUGCAAAUGAGAGUUUAUGCAAAUGAAUGUGUGUGAAUGUAUGUGAGGGAGACAGGAAGGGGGCAUAUGACAAGAAAGCAAAAUCGAGACUAUUAGAAAAAGGGAAGAGGCUGUAAAAGGACUGGUAAUGGGAUGGAAGUGCAUUAGGCACAUCAAAACCCACACAAAUGUGAAACUAGGGGCAAGGCGCAGGGCUAAGGAGACAAAGGGGUAAAAGUGAUGAUUUUUUAUGUAUAUACAAAUUGCCAAAAUUAAUCCAUUAACCUGUUUCACCAUAUGCGUUUGUAAAAGAUGUGGGAAAAGCAGGGGGUAUUGUGUGGGAGUGAAUGUUUUCAUGGAAUAUUCUUGAAAACUGUAAAUUUUCCAUUUCUUCCUGAGUACCUAGUGCUUGCAGCAGUGCCCAGUGUGGCCCCUCUGGUUUAAGAGCCCAUUGAUAUGGGGCAGAUGCUAUGUUCCAUGCUGCAUAACUGCAGCUUCUGAAGGCAUGCUGCCCUCCUUUCCUCUGUGACACCAGGACACUGGCUCAGUGGACUUCCUGGGAAAACGCAGCACAAUUCAUCAAUUAACAAGACUGAAGAUAAUUAAAAUUUAGAUGUGUGUGUACAUGUAGGAUGGUUAUAUGUACUUUCAAGCAUUUUUUACUUUCAAAUAUGGAACAAUUGAAGUGUUUACAAUGAACUCCUUUAAGACUUUAAUCACCAGCAAUUAGCAGCAGUAAAAGACAGGAGAAGCAAGAAUAACACCUAAAAUUCACUCCCAGCUUGCAUUUUGCCAGACACUCUUCUAAGUUUUCCUGGUAUUAACCCAACUUUCACAAUCUCACAAUUAUCUCAUUCUCCAGAUGAGAGAAAUGAGGGAGUUUUAAGCAUAAAUGACUUACAUGAAAACACACUCUGCAAUAUUUCUCAAAACAGCUCUUUUUUGUGGGGCGGGGGUUGCAGGGAUCGAAUUUAGACCCUUGCACUUGUGAGGCAGACUACAAACCCACUGAGCCAAAUCCCCGGCACCAAAAUAUCUCAUUUUUAGAAAUACCAAACCAUGACUUUUUACCUUUGAAGUGUAUGUACAAAUUUCUUCUCACUGAAGCUUCAUCUAUUUCCAAAACAUUGUGCAGUUCUCACUACAGCUUAGUAACUGUACCAAGGCUUAGUAUAUGAUUCUGUGAAAUAAACUGUAACCUGGUAGUGCUCAAACCUGGACUUUUAAGGAUGUAGAUGUCUCCAUGUAGAGAACAGGUGCUACUUCACCCGAACUAUGUGAGAAGGUGUGAGACAAGCACUUGCAAGGGUAAACUUGUGAUUCCCUUAGCAGACUGUUCAAGCAGAAUCCAAGUGUCCCCUCAUUUGUCCCUGUGCACCGUGGCAAUGUCUGAGCCUAUGAUCUUCUUGGUUCGGAGUUUCUAUAAGUUUACGUGGCUUCUCAGAGGCAUUGCUUCUAUAGUGCCCAGGGAUAUCUUCGCCAUAGGAGCUGCCGUUGGGUCAAAGAGCGUGCCAAAGGACAAUCAGGGCCAGGCUGUCAUGGAGUGGUGGUGCUCUAGAUAACCCAAAUUUCUCCUCUGCUGAGGAAAAACACUAAAUUUCAGUACAUGGUUAAAGCCUCUUUCUCCAAAGCAAUUCCUGGAUAUUGGACAAGUUUGCUUAAUAAAAAAAGAUGACUAUGAACACAGAAAUGCCACAUAAGACCUAAAAUGAAGGCCAAGGAAAAGGAACGAUCUAAUUUAUUUGCAGAAACAUUAAUUCCUAAGGGACGAGUAAAGCAAUUUUAAGACGUUAAAUUUUAGAUGGAC